GAAAUGCGAUAAGUAAUGUGAAUUGCAGAAUUCAGUGAAUCAUCGAAUCUUUGAACGCACCUUGCGCUCCUUGGUAUUCCGAGGAGCAUGCCUGUUUGAGUGUCAUGGAAUUCUCAACUCUAUUUGCUUUUGUGAAUAGAGCUUGGAUUUGGAGGUGUAUUGCUGGUACUUGUGAUCGGCUCCUCUUGAAUGCAUUAGCUCGAACCUUUGCGGAUCAGCUAUCGGUGUGAUAAUUGUCUACGCCGUUGCAGUGAAGCAUAUCAAUGGGCUCGGCUUCCAAUCGUCCUUUACUGGACAAUGACUUUGACCUUUGACCUCAAAUCAGGUAGGAUUACCCGCUGAACUUAAGC
rnacentral:misc_RNA from 1 species